GAUGCUGCACUUCAUCUGAGUCCUCACAAUGACUCCAAGAGGAAGCAGCAAGACCUUGAGAACAGGAGCAAAAACUACAGUAGGACCGAGACAGCUAUUAUGCAACACACUAUUUCAGGCGGACACAGAAAGCUCCUCUUUCAGAAAAGGAACUAAGGGAGGAAAUGAAAAAGGAAAAACUCAUGGAGUCCACCUUUUGCCAUAUUUUCACACUUUCUGGACUGUACAUAAGUUUCCACUUUUUCCGAUGCUUCUGUAACUUGAAGAAAAUAAUCUCAUAAGCUCUAGGAUCUGGCUUUGGAAGGAAAGGUGGAGAGAAACAGACUAGACUGUGAUCAGGUUUCUGGAAUGCAGGGUCGGGACUGGAAGAGAAGAUGAAGAGGAUGGAGAAAGCUCAUAGACACACAAGCCAGCAAUCAUCCCUCUUCUUUCUACACCAAUUAUGGAUCUGUGCUUUCCUGUCUACUAAUCUCACCAGCCUGGCUCUGUAUCCCACAUUUGAUGCCUUAUCGUGCUAUUGUGUGAGGCAAAUAACUCUAUUGCCCAAGCCUAAGACUCUCCCUAUUACUUGGUCCUAAGCGAUGAGGAAAAAUGGAAAAAGGCCACUGUGGGCUAGUAAGAUUGCCUUCUAAAUUUUCAGUUGAACUUCUGGCUCCCAGGUUCAGAAGGACAGUAACUAUGGAAAAUGAGGAACACUUGGAGCUAAAUGUAAAAGAUAAAUUUAAGAUUAAUAAAAUAUGAUAUUUCCUUGUAUUUAUAAUAGUGGUGGUUGAGGUAAAAAAGGCAUAUGAAGAUUGUUGAUCCAUUUUUAAAAAUGGCAGCUUAGUAGAGGGUUUUGGGAGUGGGGAAACUAUUUUCCCAAAAGGGCCUUGUAUUGCUUAGACUUACUACAGAGUCUGCUGGGAAAUGGAGUCCAUUUGUCUAAUAACCAUAUGCCUGCCCUAUCUGCAUUCCUCAAGUCAUUAUGAUGUAUCAGGUACUACUUUCUUUCUCCAGAUGCUAAUCCCAAUAAAGCUAUUUCUUCUGGGGAAAAAAAUAAAUGAAUAGCUGGGAGUUUGUGGUUUGUGACUUGAGAGCCAGAAAAUGGAAUAGAAGUCUCAGAAGGAAGAAAGAAGGCAGCACGGCAGACCUAUUGGGGAUUGUGGCUAAUUUUAGAAUUGUGGCAUUAGUUAUAAUGCCUCUUAUUCAAUUUUAAGUGAUUGCCUAUAAGCUCUACCCAUUAUCCAUAGACAGUCCUUAAGUAAAAGUCUCCGGUGCACACAAAAUGUGUUAGUGUUAACUUGGGAUAGAUUUAAGGAAUUGGGGAGGUCUUCAGCUUGAAGCAAAGAUGUAUGGAAAAUUAAUAGUGGU
rnacentral:lncRNA from 1 species